CAAAUAAACGUGCAGGUUUUCAUCGCUUAAGAAACAAAAUAUCUUGAACACUGCCCUAUAGCCAUUAAAACAAAGGCCAUUGCUCAUAUGCAAGUAUAUCCAGCAGAACCAGGGUACAGCGUAUCAAAUGUCGGUGACAUUUACUUUCUUUGACCAUUCUCUAGUAUUAAAAUAUUUAAUCAAUGACUAGACUGUCAUGUACUUCAUCAUUUGAGCAAGGCAUCGUGUUCAAAAGGAAUAAUCCAAUCCAGUUGGCAUUGUUGGUGUUCAUUUGUAUAGUUGCAUUGGUUCUGCAUGAAUCAAUGUUUUCAUAAGCAUUUCAUUACAUAGUAAUGUCUUGUAGCUUAACUCCAGGGAUGUAAAAUAAAACUAAAGCAACGAUUGGGAAACCUCCCUGAAUAUCGACUACUUCUUGGAUCUGAACUCUGGAUUAUGAACAGGCUCUUUGAUUCCGUAUUCCACAGGUCUGCUAGACACAUGUAUCGGAUCUUGCAGUUGGUUGCCUGUAUCUGCAUGACACACAUUACUGACGACAUAUUUAGCUGAGGAGAAAAUUAUGAUCGCUUUGCUACCUUUGAUGCCAGUCAGAGUGAAUGGGAACUUGGAUUUGCAGCUGACUACUAACCCUCAGAUGUCGGGCAUAAUUGACUACACGUACAUGGUGAUUAAGUUUCCCUCGCGUAAAGGCUUCUAUUCCAGCAAAGUACAACUGAUACGUAAUCAUGAAAGAUCUUUCUGCAGAUAAGCCGAUCCCCUGACAUCUGGACCCAGAGCUACAUGUUGAAAAUGGGUCCUCCAGACAGCUUCUGCCUCGACUCACAAAUUCUACCUUUGCUCACUUGGGCUGUACAUCAUUCGCUAUCAUAUAAGUUUAGAUCCCAGUGAACCCUGGGAUUUUAUCAUUUAUAGUGUCACUGUUGCAUCCACCAGAACAAUUUGCGGCACUUUGGGGGACUCACUGUCACCUGUCCUUAACUGUAUGUGCCCACAUCACUAAUACCAGGUGGGGGAGGACAUCAUUUUCGGCCGAAGAUUAAUUUGACCAUGAUAAAGAAUAAAGGCACGUUUACAUGUUAAU